rnacentral:lncRNA from 1 species
UUAAUUAGUAGUUGCAUUAUUUAAUUAAGAAAAAACUUCAAAUACCACCUCUGUGGUUUCCAACUUUCUCACUUUAUUACCUCAUGGUUUGAAAUGCAUGUAUCAAUUUAGUGUCCUGUGAUUUCAUUUUUAUUUUUUUAUUAUCGAUUUCACUAAUUUUUUUGUUAAAUCAGUGACAAAGUUAAAACUAAAAGGUAAUAAAAUGAAUAUUUGAUAAAUUUAGAUAGAGUAUCUGAAGUUUUUUUGUAUAUAAUUUAACAAAAUAUUAACGAAAAAACUAACGAAAAGAUAAAAAUAAAACUUCAAGACAUUACCUUGAUACACUUUAAACCAUACAGUACUAAAGUGAGAAAGUGCGAAACCACAAGGAUGGUAUUUGAAGUUUAUCCUUUAAUUAAAUAACAUAAAAGGUGGCUAAUUAUUAUACGCUCAAACUGUGCGGCAUGAAAUUGUUAGUCUACAAACUCUUCCACAUACAGGCUAUUCAACAAAUUAAAUU